CCUACGGGAGGCAGCAGUGAGGAAUAUUGGUCAAUGGUCGGGAGACUGAACCAGCCAAGCCGCGUGAGGGAUGAAGGUACAGAGUAUCGUAAACCUCUUUUGUCAGGGAACAAAGGCGGGGACGUGUCCCCGGAUGAGUGUACCUGAAGAAAAAGCAUCGGCUAACUCCGUGCCAGCAGCCGCGGUAAUACGGAGGAUGCGGGCGUUAUCCGGAUUUAUGGGGUUUAAAGGGUGCGCAGGCGGUCUGUUAAGUCAGCGGUCAAAGCCCGGGGCUCAACCCCGGCCCGCCGUUGAAACUGGCAGUCUCGAGUUGGAGAGAAGUAUGCGGAAGGCGCGGUGUAGCGGUGAAAUGCAUAGAUAUCGCGCAGAACUCCGAUUGCGAAGGCAGCAUGCCGGCUCCACACUGACGCUGAGGCUCGAAAGCGCGGGUAUCGAACAGGAUUAGAUACCCUUGUAGUC
rnacentral:rRNA from 1 species